UACGGGGGGGCAAGCGUUGUUCGGAAUUACUGGGCGUAAAGGGCUCGUAGGCGGCCAACUAAGUCAGACGUGAAAUCCCUCGGCUUAAACCGGGGAACUGCGUCUGAUACUGGUUGGCUUGAAUCCGGGAGAGGGAUGUGGAAUUCCUGGUGUAGCGGUGAAAUGACGCAGAUAUGUGGAGGAACACCGAUGGCGAAGGCAGCCCCCUGGGUUAAC
rnacentral:rRNA from 1 species